rnacentral:rRNA from 1 species
UACGGAGGGUGCAAGCGUUAAUCGGAAUUACUGGGCGUAAAGCGAGUGUAGGUGGCCGCAUAAGUCGGAUGUGAAAGCCCUGGGCUUAACCUGGGAAUGGCAUUCGAUACUGUGUGGCUAGAGUCUGAUAGAGGGAAGUGGAAUUCCAGGUGUAGCGGUGAAAUGCGUAGAUAUCAGGAGGAACACCUGCGGUGUAGACGGCUUACUGGACCAUAACUGACGCUGAGGCACGAAAGCGUGGGUAGCAAACAGG